rnacentral:misc_RNA from 1 species
UUGAAUAAGCUUGGUUGGGUUGUUGCUGGCUCUUUUGGAGCAUGUGCACGCCUGACGACCAACUUUAUUACCACCUGUGCACCCUUUGUAGACUUGGAUACCUCUCGAGGAAACUCGGACUUUGAGGAUUGCUGUGCGCAAGCCGGCUUUCCUUUGCAUUUCCGGUCUAUGUUUUUAUAUAUACACACCAAGUAUGUUACAGAAUGUUAUUAAACAGGACUUAAUUGCCUUUAAACUUUAUA